rnacentral:rRNA from 1 species
UACGUAGGUGACAAGCGUUGUCCGGAUUUACUGGGCGUAAAGAGCGCGCAGGCGGUCGAUCAAGUCGAGUGUGAAAGACCCCGGCUCAACUGGGGAGGGUCGUGCGAUACGGGCGGGCUGGAGGCCAGUAGGGGGAUGCGGAAUUCCGGGUGUAGUGGUGGAAUGCGUAGAGAUCCGGAGGAACACCAGCGGCGAAGGCGGCAUCCUGGACUGGUCCUGACACUCAUGAGCGAAAGCGUGGGGAGCGAUCCGG